AUAUUGGACAAUGGGCGCAAGCCUGAUCCAGCCAUGCCGCGUGAGUGAUGAAGGCCUUAGGGUUGUAAAGCUCUUUUGUCCGGGACGAUAAUGACGGUACCGGAAGAAUAAGCCCCGGCUAACUUCGUGCCAGCAGCCGCGGUAAUACGAAGGGGGCUAGCGUUGCUCGGAAUCACUGGGCGUAAAGGGCGCGUAGGCGGCUUUUUAAGUCGGGGGUGAAAGCCUGUGGCUCAACCACAGAAUUGCCUUCGAUACUGGAAAGCUUGAGACCGGAAGAGGACAGCGGAACUGCGAGUGUAGAGGUGAAAUUCGUAGAUAUUCGCAAGAACACCAGUGGCGAAGGCGGCUGUCUGGUCCGGUUCUGACGCUGAGGCGCGAAAGCGUGGGGAGCAAACAG
rnacentral:rRNA from 1 species